rnacentral:rRNA from 1 species
AGAGUUUGAUCAUGGCUCAGAAUAAACGCUGGCGGCGUGCUUUAUACAUGCAAGUCUAGGAGAGGAUGGGCUUCGGUCCAUUAGUAAACUGGCGAACGGGUGAGUAACACGUAAGCGACCUGCCCUCCCGACGGGGAUAACAUAGGGAAACCUGUGCUAAAACCGGAUACGCUCAUGAUCUUAAAUGUUUAUGAGGAGAGACGGGUUAAACCGUUGCGGGAGGAUGGGCUUGCGUCCCAUUAGCUUGUUGGUGAGGUAACGGCUCACCAAGGCUUCGAUGGGUAGCCGUCCUGAGAGGGUGUACGGCCACACUGGAACUGAGACACGGUCCAGACUCCUACGGGAGGCAGCAGUGGGGAAUUUUGCGCAAUGGGGGCAACCCUGACGCAGCGACGCCGCGUGAGCGAAGAAGGUCUUCGGAUUGUAAAGCUCUUUUGUAAAAGAAGAAUGUACUCGAGAGGAAAUGCUCGAGUAAUGACGGUAUUUUACGAAUAAGCCAUGGCUAACUCCGUG